AUUUUUUUAAUAUAACAAGUAUAUCUGACUUCCAAUCAGAAAGUCUAAAUUUUUAGAAAAAAUA
rnacentral:tRNA from 1 species